rnacentral:rRNA from 1 species
GCUAAUGAUUAGUGGAAUCGGGGUCUCCGACCUUGACCAAUUCUCUAAACUUUAAAUUGGUAAGAACCUUGAAGUUUUUCUUAAUUUGAACUUUAGGGUAGAAUGCAUUGUUCUUAGUGGCCAUUUUUGGUAAGCAGAACUGGCGAUGAGGGAUGAACCUAACGUUGAGAUAAGGUGCCCAAAUUCACGCUCAUCAGACACCAUAAAAGGCGUUGGUUAGUAUAAACAGCCGGACUGUGGCCAUGGAAGUCGGCACCAGCUAAGGAGUGUGUAACAACUCACCAGCCGAAUUAACCAGCCCUGAAAAUUGAUGGCGCUAAGCGUGAUACCGAUACUCAACCAUCAUAGCAAAUAGAAGUUAUGAUGAGUAAGAGGGCGUGAAGACUGUGUAGAAGGCUUGGAAGUGAUUCUGGCUGGAACAGUCUUUAGUGCAGAUCUUGGUGGUAGUAGC